rnacentral:tRNA from 2 species
GCCGGUGUGGCGGAAUGGUAGACGCGCACGACUCAAAAUCGUGUUCCUUCGGGAGUGUGGGUUCGAGUCCCACCGCCGGUA